rnacentral:rRNA from 1 species
UACGACUACAUAUCAGGCAUAUCAAUAAGCGGAGGAAAAGAAACUAACAAGGAUUCCCUUAGUAACGGCGAGUGAAGCGGGAAGAGCUCAAAUUUGAAAUCUUCAAGGUUUUACCUUGACGAAUUGUAGUUUAAAGAAGUGUUUUCUGUUGAAGUUUUGGUAAAAGUUCUUUGGAAUAGGACAUCAUAGAGGGUGAGAAUCCCGUAUUUGACCAUUAUUUUCAGCUGUGUGAUACACUUUCAAAGAGUCGGAUUGUUUGGGAAUGCAGUCCAAAAUGGGUGGUAAAUUUCAUCUAAAGCUAAAUAUUGGCGAGAGACCGAUAGCGAACAAGUACCGUGAGGGAAAGAUGAAAAGAACUUUGAAAAGAGAGUUAAACAGUACGUGAAAUUGUCAAAAGGGAAGCGUUUGACACCAGUGUUGUUUUCUCGAAAAUCAAUUAAAAAAAGUUGGAUUUUGUGUUGUAUUGACCUUAACAGCUUGCUUCACUCUUUUCCAGCUUUUUUUAAUGCACUUUUCGUUUAACAAGUCAACAUCAGUUUCUUUUGUUGUAAAAGGGUCAUUGGAAGGUGGCUUUCUCUUCGGAGAAAGUGUUUAUAGCCUUUGAUCUCUGCAAUCGGAGAGACUGAGGUCUGCAGCGUAGAUCCUUCGGGGUUAGAUACAUUUGUGCUAAGCUACAGCUUUUCAUAGACAACUUGUUGACUAUGUUUAGUCUUGUGACUUACCCGCUUAUGCUAUUUUACCUACGCUUAGGAUGUUGAGCGCAUGUCUCUCUCU